AAACAGGUUCUCCAACACCCCAGACCAUAACACAAGGACCAGAGAUCAAGAACCGAGCGCAUCUGUAGCACUUCCAGGUCCCGUUUGACUUCCUCUGUCAACUCCGGAGCCUUCAUGUCAUACCAGCCAGGACCCUUUGUCUUCUCAAGCUCUUUCUGGAAGUUAAAGAUUAUUUCACUUACCCACUAAAUAAUACAGGUAGUAAUAAAAUAAAUAUAUAAACAUU